CCUACGGGAUGCAGCAGUGGGGAAUAUUGGACAAUGGGCGAAAGCCUGAUCCAGCCAUGCCGCGUGUGUGAAGAAGGCCUUCGGGUUGUAAAGCACUUUCAGUGGGGAAGAAAGCCUUGGGGCUAAUACCCUCGAGGAAGGACAUCACCCACAGAAGAAGCACCGGCUAACUCCGUGCCAGCAGCCGCGGUAAUACGGAGGGUGCGAGCGUUAAUCGGAAUUACUGGGCGUAAAGCGCGCGUAGGCGGUCUGAUAAGCCGGUUGUGAAAGCCCCGGGCUCAACCUGGGAACGGCAUCCGGAACUGUCAGGCUAGAGUGCAGGAGAGGAAGGUAGAAUUCCCGGUGUAGCGGUGAAAUGCGUAGAGAUCGGGAGGAAUACCAGUGGCGAAGGCGGCCUUCUGGACUGACACUGACGCUGAGGUGCGAAAGCGUUGGUAGCAAACAGGAUUAGAUACCCGAGUAGUC
rnacentral:rRNA from 1 species